AAUAAAAGAGUUAUUAAUUAAAAAUAAAAAAACUUGAAACAACUUUUCAUGAAAAAAAAUGUGAAUAUAUUUAGAAUAUAAAUUAAACCUGAGACUUAAGAAUGAAAUCACAUGUGUUAAAAACAUUAAUUAAAAGUAGAGAAAAAGGCUUAAAAUAACAUGAAAUAAAAAAAAUACGUAAGAGAGAAAUCAAACCCAAA
rnacentral:lncRNA from 1 species